GACGAACGCUGGCGGCGUGCCUAAUACAUGCAAGUAGAACGCACAGUUUAUACCGUAGCUUGCUACACCAUAGACUGUGAGUUGCGAACGGGUGAGUAACGCGUAGGUAACCUGCCUGGUAGCGGGGGAUAACUAUUGGAAACGAUAGCUAAUACCGCAUAAUAUUAAUUAUUGCAUGAUAAUUAAUUGAAAGGUGCAAUUGCACCACUACCAGAUGGACCUGCGUUGUAUUAGCUAGUAGGUGAGGUAACGGCUCACCUAGGCGACGAUACAUAGCCGACCUGAGAGGGUGAUCGGCCACACUGGGACUGAGACACGGCCCAGACUCCUACGGGAGGCAGCAGUAGGGAAUCUUCGGCAAUGGACGAAAGUCUGACCGAGCAACGCCGCGUGAGUGAAGAAGGUUGUCGGAUCGUAAAGCUCUGUUGUAAGAGAAGAACGGGUGUGAGAGUGGAAAGUUCACACUGUGACGGUAUCUGAACAGAAAGGGACGGCUAACUACGUG
rnacentral:rRNA from 1 species